CUCUACACUUAUGCAAUGGUCAUCCGUUUGACUGUGUAGCUGCGCCAAUUGGGAUACAGGUUGGCAUCAAUGACCUCGAUUUUGAACAACAUCAGUUUGUCGACAAACAUUCCCAACUCUUCAGAACAUUCAGCAGAAGUAUUUGAGCACUCACUGCAGCCAAAACACACAAAUCAUAGUAUAAGAAAACCUACUAACAGUUUUUCUGACAAAGUUCUAGCACAAUUGAAGUUAGCACGAUCCCCAUAUAUGCAGACAAAAGAAAUAACAUAAAUGGAACCUCCUUUGCCUAAGUCAAUAUCUACAUGAAAGCAUGCACCAUAGAGACUCUAUUACUUGAGGGACCAAAAUCGUUGGCCAUCUUGAGGUUCCUCUCUCACACGUCCUCUAGGCCAUAAUGCCAGUGUUUGCUCUCCCACUAACCGUCUUGAUAAUGUUUGUCGGUCCUAAUUAUAUCAUUUUUCUUUCAUCACGUUUCCUAUACUAGUAAACAAGAGAUCAUUCCAUUUUUAAUUUCUCAAUUUAAUUUCAUGAGUCAAAAGUUGAAAACCUAUGACUCCUUUCCUUAUUACCACGCCAAAUAUACCUCUCUUCCUCAUGUAGGUUGUUCAAUUUCAUUUAAUUGCUAUUACAAGCCAUAAACAGCCAUUGACCUCCUUUCUCUUCUAAAAGAAAAACGCGUUUGACCUCUUCUCUCUCUCUAGUGUGUCAACUAUUCCUCUAGUCUCCAAAUCCAAUUGAUGCUCAUUGAUCCUUCCAUAAUUUUCCUUAAUACAAAUUAACAAACCUAGUGUAACUCUCUUAUAUUUGUAGGGUCUGUUACAACUAGGAGUAAAACAUUCAUUUUCUUGCUCUCAUCAUCAUCAUUAUAGUUAACCAACAUCAAAGAAAACCCUCCACCAUUUUCACGUUUUGUACCCAACUCACUACAUCAUUCAUUGUUAAGCAACAUACUACUGCAACCCUUAGCUACAUCCCACCAUUAUCAUUUGUUCACCAAAAUAUUUUUCUAUGUCACUCAAGCAUUCAUCUACCGAUCCUUUUCUCAAAACUUAUGCAAGUCCUAAGAAUCCCAAGACUAGCUCGUGCAUUUGGUGCGGAAUCAAUCCUAGGGACGUCUUGUGUCGACGGAAAGUCACUCAAAGGUAUUGAUGAAUUUGAAGAUUUGAAGAAAGUAUCAUGUUAAGUUUGCACGCGCGCCGGGAAAUAAAUUUGGGUUUUUCAUAUGUUGUAAUUUAAAAUAUUUUUGAGGUUCAUUUUAGUUUUCUUGUAAUAAUCCAAUUUAAUAAAUAAUUUCUAUUA